rnacentral:tRNA from 1 species
GGUGGCUCAGUGAUAGAGCACUUGCCUUGCAUGCAUGAGGACCUGGGUUCGAUUCCUCAGCACCA